ACAGCGGAGAGUUUGAUCCUGGCUCAGGAUGAACGCUAGCUGCAGGCUUAACACAUGCAAGUCGGACGGCAGCGGGGGGAGGAGCUUGCUCCUCCCCGCCGGCGAGUGGCGCACGGGUGAGUAACACGUAUGCAACCUGCCUCUGUCAGGGGGACAACCUCCCGAAAGGGAGGCUAAUCCCGCAUAUAUCCUCCGGGGGCAUCCCCGGGGGAGGAAAGAUUUAUCGGACAGAGAUGGGCAUGCGGCGCAUUAGGUAGUUGGCGGUGUAACGGACCACCAAGCCGACGAUGCGUAGGGGUUCUGAGAGGAAGGUCCCCCACACUGGUACUGAGACACGGACCAGACUCCUACGGGAGGCAGCAGUGAGGAAUAUUGGUCAAUGGAAGGAAUUCUGAACCAGCCAAGCAGCGUGAAGGAAGAAGGCUCUACGAGUCGUAAACUUCUUUUGUCAAGGAACAAAAUGUCUUACGUGUAAGACACCGAGUGUACUUGAAGAAAAAGCAUCGGCUAACUCCGUGCCAGCAGCCGCGGUAAUACGGAGGAUGCGAGCGUUAUCCGGAUU
rnacentral:rRNA from 1 species